AUUUAGGACUAGUCUUUGAUUCAUAGAAAGGUUUACAGAGAUAAUGCCUCCACACUGUGAUGGCUACUCUUGGCUGUCAACUUGACGACAUCUGGAAUUGGCUAAAACUCCUCAAGUGGCUGGGUACAGCUGUGAGGGGUUUGUCCUAAUUAAAUCAUUUGAAGUGGGAAGACCCUCCUUUGAUCCCGAUCUUUUGGGGGGGAGAGAUUCACCUUAAAUCUGGACUCCUUCUUGUGGCAGACUAUUUAAAGGGUGUGGAAGAAGACAGUGUGUGCUCUUUGCCUGCUUGCUUUCACUCUCCCCGGCAAGUUAAUUCCAUCUCUGAGAUUCUGGUCUAUUCUCAGAAACGACUGACAAGCCUCAAGGACAGAACAAUUACUGGAUUCUUGGCUUUUUGUUAGUGGACAGGCAUUGGACUAGCUGGACCACAGUCUCUGCAGACUCGGGAACGGGCCACACCUCGACCCCUGUUUGCAGCACUCCCGUGGCCAGGGUAGUGCGGGUGCUGAUCUUGGAGGUUGCUGGGUCUCAUGCUGAACUUCACUUCCCACUGGUUCCUCCACUUUGGCCUUUUCGGGGCAAGUUCUGCUUUAAUCCAGUCACUUACUCUACAAAUGCAUGGCGAUUACCUGCUACCCACGAGAGACCGGCGCGCCGCCAUGAAUCAGGCAGAGGGAGGCUGACAACGUCGGUCUGGAAAAGCGUUGUAAAGUUCUCCAGCAGAGGACUCACCAGUUACUAGCUUCAUCUCUUAGGUUUCCUUUCCUCCUCUCUUUCCCUGGUGUUUCCCCAACCUCAGCCAUAAGCCACAAAAGAAGCUGCAUUUCUCAAUGCUGAUAGAUGAAUUCAAGCCAGACACAAACUGGAUGAUUAGAACAUUUAUCAUCUCAUUCUCGGUGCUUGAAGUCUGAACUCAAGGUGUCCUGAAGGCUUCCCCCAACCCCUCGUUAAUUUAUUCCUUUGUUCAGUUUACAUCCCGGUCGCUGCCCCCUCUCCUCCCAGUGCCCCACCUCUAAGAAGGGGUAGGUCCCUCCUGGGGAACCAACACCCUGGCAACUCAAGUCACUACAGGACUGGUACACCCUCUCCUUCUGAGGCCAGACAACGCAGCGCAGUUACAGGAGCAGGAUCCACAGGCAGGCAAUAGAGUCAGGGUAAGCCCGGGUUCCAGGUGUUGGGGGACCCACAUGAAAAUCAAGCUGCACAUCUACUACAUAAAUUUGGGGAUGGAAGGUUGAGGGGGGCUAGAUCCAGUCUUUGU
rnacentral:lncRNA from 1 species